AUUCAUUCUGAUGACUUCAGAUUGUGUAUUCUUUGGUCUUCUAUCAGUGUUCUUAUUGUUCAUCUCUUAAACCUCAGUGGAUUUGUCCCACAGUUAUUUGGUCGCAGACUGCUGAUCUCAGAACAGUUAGUGACAGUAAUAAUCGUUGAGCUACUAGUUUAUGGCCUUUUCCCUGGUGCAGUCACAUUCAUAUAUUUUAUUGUGCUGUACUGUGGCUUUGUGGUUGCCCAUGCUUGUCUCACACCUGCUAAGAAAGCUGUUUGGCAGAACUUUGAAAUUCAGCAUGUUU